UGAAACUAAGAGGAGGGAGGAAAAAGAAAAAAAGAGAAAGAACGAGAGCUAAUCAGAAGAUGGUAAACAUUUUUUUUUUUGGGCGCUGAAAGGACACAUGUUGUUUUACGCCUCCAAGUUGUCAUUCCUACUCAUGGCUCCAAAACCUCAACGCAUUCGUCACAUGGUGGGAACAACUUGGCAAAGCGCGAUGAAGAAGGCGAGGACAAUGAGUACUGAUGAUACUGAGACUGAUUCAUCAAUGAAAGACGCCUUCUCCAAAUAUGCUGAUUACCUCAAUAACAUUAAUGAUAAACGGGAAAGGGUAGUGAAAGCUAGUCGUGAUAUUACUAUGAAUAGCAAGAAGGUUAUUUUUCAAGUGCACAGAAUGAGCAAGCAGAACAAAGAGGAAGUUCUGGAUAAAGCAGUAAACGAUCUGAAAGCUGUAACUGAUCAAUAUUUGUCCCGGCUAGUAAAGGAACUACAAGGGACUGAUUUCUGGAAGCUAAGACGAGCAUAUUCACCUGGGGUCCAAGAAUAUGUUGAAGCUGCAACGCUUUGUAAUUUCUGUAAGACAGGGACUCUAUUAACUCUUGAUGAGAUAAAUGCGACCUUGCUCCCAUUAAGUGAUCCUUCUGUUGAACCUUUGCAGAUUAACAUCUUAGACUAUAUGUUAGGGCUUGCGGACUUGACAGGAGAAUUAAUGAGGUUAGCAAUCGGUCGAAUUUCUGAAGGGGAACUUGAUUUUGCUGAGAAGAUCUGCAGUUUUGUGCGUGAAAUUUACAGGAACCUUACUCUUAUUGCCCCGGAGAUGGAUGAUAGUUCAGACAUGAAACAGAAAAUGGAAACAAUGCUCCAGAGUGUAAUGAAGAUAGAAAAUGGUAGUCGGGUAUUCAGGUUCCAUCUGGAUCCUGAAAAGGUCAAUAUCUGUAUUUAGUUUUGGACAAAGUGGAUAGAAUCUGGGAAAAACUUGAGGCGCAUCUCUUAUGCAACUGAUUGUUCUGCAGCUUGUUUUAGUGUUCAUGUAAGAGGAUCGGAGUAUAUUCCUCUUCUUGGAUCUGCUGACACCAGUUAUCCACUGUUGGGCAUGCUAGACAUUGAAUGAAGAGGCAGAAAGAGAAGUGCUCGUUUGCUGUUAAAGUAGCUCCCUCCCUCAUACACAAAUGUGCAUAGCGUCAAACUGGAGAGAAAAAGAACUUUAGGAAUGGAUGCACUUCCACAUGUGCUUUUGCAAAGUUCCUGGGCACAAUGUGUCUUUGUAGGGGAAAUUGCAGAGCUUGUAAUUACUCUAGUCCAGCUACUGAACUAUAUGCGACUAUGUAGGGGAAAUUGCGCAGCUUACAAGUACUCUAGUUCACCAACUGACCUACAAAAUGGAUCUCAAAUUCCCGAAGAUUCUUCUCUCUUUAUCUUUUCUUGAAUAUUUUUGCACUCACCUCCCUCUAUUCCGUUGUGUAUUUUACACCUCUCGGAAUCAUCCGAUGAAACUUCGAUCGGGUUAAUAUCUUAUGUGGUGUUUAUGCAUUAGUCUUUUUAGGGUCUCUUGUAGUUUGGUCAACUGUUUGCUUUGUCAGAUACAUUUUCCUCCUUGUUCUCGAAAUGGUUGCGAUGGUUAUUUUUUGUUUUUGUUGUAUUUCCACUUAGUCAUGUAUAUGUUAUAUGAUGUGAAUCACAACUUUGAAACUUAGGAUCUCAUUCUCAUUCUUUCUGGCUUGAAGGAAAAUAUGAGGAUAUUCAUUAUUUUUAUCA